GCCCCGGUAGUUCAGUGGAUAGAACAAAGCACUCCUAAGGCUUAGACGUGGGUUCGAUUCCCGCCCAGGGCACAA
rnacentral:tRNA from 2 species